rnacentral:rRNA from 1 species
CCUACGGGCGGCAGCAGUGAGGAAUAUUGGUCAAUGGCCGGAAGCCUGAACCAGCCAAGCCGCGUGAGGGACGAAGGUACCAAGCAUUGUAAACUUCUUUUGUCAAGGGACAAAAUCAGGCUCGAGAGCCUGACCGAGGGUACUUGAAGAAAAAGCAUCGGCUAACUCCGUGCCAGCAGCCGCGGUAAUACGGAGGAUGCGAGCGUUAUCCGGAUUUAUUGGGUUUAAAGGGUGCGCAGGCGGCCUGUUAAGUCAGCGGUAAAAGCCCGGGGCUCAACCCCGGCGAGCCGUUGAAACUGGCUGUGUUGAGAUGGAGAGAGGUAGGCGGAAUGCGCAGUGUAGCGGUGAAAUGCUUAGAUAUUGCGAAGAACUCCGAUUGCGAAGGCAGCAUACCGGCGGCGAUCUGACGCUGAGGCACGAAAGCGUGGGUAUCGAACAGGAUUAGAUACCCGAGUAGUC